rnacentral:lncRNA from 1 species
CAAAAAUCAUGCAUGUCAUGAAUAUGAAUAAUAAGGAUAUAUGUCAUUAUGUCAUUUACUUUAAAUAUUACGAUAAGGAAGCAUCAUAUUCCAAUAUUCAUUAAAGUCGACUUAAAAUCAUUUCAUUUGAAACAUUUCAUUUCAUUGGGGCCUUGACCCACCUACUAUGCACCGGAUAGUGCUCUACAUAAUAUCAAUAUCAAUAAUCAAAUGACCAAUAUGAAAUCGACACCAGCGAGUUGACCAUCCUCUCAUGACCAUUAGAGGCCCAUCUCCUAAUUGCCCCUAUGAUCAACCAAGAAGUCUCCGACCUAGUAGCGCCAAUAAUCAUAAUAUCACAAGGGCACAGUUGAGUGGUCCACCCUCCCGUGAUCACCAAAGGCCCGUCCACUGUUUACCUUUGCAAUCACCCAAGAAGUAUCACCCGCAUUGCCAAACAUAUCACAUAAGCAUACCUCACAUGCCUUGGUGCCCUAAUAGUGGUCAAUAAAAAUAUUCAUAAAGAAAACUCACUUUAAAAUCAUGUUUCACAUGCAGAAUUUUCAAUCAUGAUCGCAUGUCGUGCUUGUAGAUGAAAAUGCUCAUGAAUGACAUAUUCAAUGAGAAUAGAUGUCAAUAGGUUCCGCAACCUCAUACUCGACGAUCAUAACCAUCAUAUAAUGUGCUAUAAGCAUCUUAUCAAAGUCAUGUAAAUAUUUCAAUAUUACCAUAUCGCAAAUACUAGGUUCUUUAUCAUAGUUGGAAAUGGAUUUUUACUUACCUUUCGCUUUUGUAUGUGCAAGCUCCUACGAAGUGUAUAUCAAUUUCCUUUUUUACUCAACGUCGAAAAAUCACCUGUAUUAUCAUCUAAUAUUAAAGGCAAUCCUCCAUUUACUAACCUUAACACACAGAAUCCCAAAAUACGUCAAUUCACGCCAAAACAAUUUAGACAAAAUCAUUAUUGCAAGUUACCGAUGACAUUACAAACUAAUCCCAUAAGUCUUGCUAUUUUUCGAGUCCAAUUAUGGACGUCAACAUCAUCCAAUUGUUUUCAUUAACCUAGUACUCCUUAGAUUAUAUUUUCUAGGCCCAAGAGUUUAUUAAUGGACAUAUAAAUGUUGAAAUCACAUUAAAUACCCAAAUUGACAGAAUCUGUUUUUUAGCUUUCCAUCACCGUCCACUCAUUUUUUGAAUUCUUUUUCAUGCCCUUACCUACAUUUAACGGCUCCCAAACUUUUACCACACACCUAUAAAAUAUAUUUGAAGAUAAUCAGGUCAUAAGGUUGUGACAAAUGAAAUGUUUUGAGCUUCAAAAACAGUCCAUUUUCCACUACACAAAAUCAGGCGGUUUUUCCCUUUGACUGUUUUCGGUUUCCAUUUUAUUAGUAUGAUACCAAUAGAAUUCUAGGCCAUUAAAAAUCAUUUAUACACUUCAUACUUACAUAUAAAAACAUUCAUAUCGAUAGAUAUAAUUUACGCACUAAGUAUCAUCCCAAAAUCAAGGUAUGAACUACUUAAAUCCAGCAACCUAUAUCUCUGCCAAAGUUGUUUUCUCUCAAGUUCUUGUAAUUAAUUACCCCUAUCUUGGCAUCAUAAAAUCAUUAACAACACUCCAAACUAAUCACAAGAAAGUUCAGAUUUUCAAGAAAUUAUAAACCCCUUAAGAAAUAAUGGAUACAAACCUCAAAACCGUGAAGUAACAAAGCUGUCUAGAAAUUGCAGCUUCUUGUUUUUAUUUCGCUUUGACUCUUUCACCC